rnacentral:pre_miRNA from 1 species
AGUGCAAUUGCUGGGUUAUAAUAGUAACUAUGUUUAACCUUUUGCGGGGCUGCCAGAGACUGUGUUCCAAAGGUAACUGUACCAUUUUACAUUUCCAACAGCAGU